rnacentral:snRNA from 1 species
GUAAGAUAUAGUUGUCUUAAA